UACGGGAGGCAGCAGUGGGGAAUAUUGCGCAAUGGACGAAAGUCUGACGCAGCAACGCCGCGUGAGGGAAGACGGCCUUCGGGUUGUAAACCUCUUUCAGCAGGGACGAAGCGAGAGUGACGGUACCUGCAGAAGAAGGACCGGCCAACUACGUGCCAGCAGCCGCGGUAAUAC
rnacentral:rRNA from 1 species